AUUGAACGCUGGCGGCAGGCCUAACACACGCAAGUCGAGCGGAUGAAGGGAGCUUGCUCCUGGAUUCAGCGGCGGACGGGUGAGUAAUGCCUAGGAAUCUGCCUGGUAGUGGGGGAUAACGUCCGGAAACGGGCGCUAAUACCGCAUACGUCCUGAGGGAGAAAGUGGGGGAUCUUCGGACCUCACGCUAUCAGAUGAGCCUAGGUCGGAUUAGCUAGUUGGUGGGGUAAAGGCCUACCAAGGCGACGAUCCGUAACUGGUCUGAGAGGAUGAUCAGUCACACUGGAACUGAGACACGGUCCAGACUCCUACGGGAGGCAGCAGUGGGGAAUAUUGGACAAUGGGCGAAAGCCUGAUCCAGCCAUGCCGCGUGUGUGAAGAAGGUCUUCGGAUUGUAAAGCACUUUAAGUUGGGAGGAAGGGCAGUAAGUUAAUACCUUGCUGUUCUGACGUUACCAACAGAAUAAGCACCGGCUAACUUCGUG
rnacentral:rRNA from 1 species